UAGGGAAUCUUCCGCAAUGGACGCAAGUCUGACGGAGCAACGCCGCGUGAGUGAAGAAGGGUUUCGGCUCGUAAAACUCUGUUGUUAAGGAAGAAUGACAGGCAGAGUAACUGCUGCCUGUGUGACGGUACUUAACCAGAAAGCCACGGCUAACUACGUGCCAGCAGCCGCGGUAAUACGUAGGUGGCAAGCGUUAUCCGGAAUUAUUGGGCGUAAAGCGCGCGUAGGCGGUUUUUUAAGUCUGAUGUGAAAGCCCCCGGCUCAACCGGGGAGGGUCAUUGGAAACUGGGGAACUGGAGUGCAGAAGAGGAGAGUGGAAUUCCAUGUGUAGCGGUGAAAUGCGCAGAGAUAUGGAGGAACACCAGUGGCGAAGGCGGCUCUCUGGUCUGUAACUGACGCUGAUGUGCGAAAGCGUGGGGAUCAAACAGG
rnacentral:rRNA from 1 species